AUCCCAGUCAUGUAAGGCAAAUGCAACUUGAGUGAACAUACAUAAUCCAGGUGAAUGGUUUGGUAUAGGUGUGUACAUUACAGCAGACGGAUAACAGGAAUGCAACAAAUCUGCUUGUUUUGGAUUUGUCGGGUGGACGGAUAAUGUGGAUCAAGAUGCGUGGAUACUGAGUACAAGAGCAGGCUGAUGGGAGGAAUGGUUGGGAAGAAGAUCAUUGGAGCACCAUGCGGGGAGAAGGGAUGAUGUUUUGUACAGAGCUGCCAUUUCUCUUUGUCGGGGUCCUGGAUAACUGAUGCAAGGAUGGAGUUGGAUUGUUGCCUCACAAAUGCGAUGCUGUGGAACAUGAUGCAGAGGGGGAAUGGAAGUGAGCCAUGUGGGAUCCCACAGGUGACACACAUUGAGACAGAGAUGCAGUUGCUCAUCGCAUCUUUCUGGGAUCCAGCUGAGAGGCAUGAUGGAGCCAACUUAGUGCAGUUCCACCCACUCCUUCUAGGUCACUCGGACAAAUCAGCAGCACCUCCUGAUCUACAGUGACAAACCUACUAUUGGGCUGUGUAGAGGAGAUUGCCCAGUGGGGCGAUUAGCAACAUCUCUAUGCUGCAACCAGGCCUGAAGCCAGAAUGUGAGGAGCCCAGCAUUACCUGCUGAGUUCCUUCAAGGUGGCCUGUAAUAAAGUCAGUCUUUUUAAGGUCCAAACAGAAAAGAAAAAUACCCAUGGAACUUGGCUGAGGAAUUGUUCAAGAAAGUGCAUUGACCUAUA